UGAGCCCUGUAAUUGGUUAUCCAAUAUGA
rnacentral:piRNA from 1 species